rnacentral:lncRNA from 1 species
AAGAUCCUAAUAGAAACAAUAUAAACAUAAGAAUGUAUACUUGAAUCGGAAAAGAAACUACCUCUUUUAGGAAGAAGAUAAAAUUCGGAUGAAGCAUAUAACCUCAGUUGGUUAGAACCUCAUGCUGAUAACGUAUUAAGAAAUAAGAGCAAAAUGGAAUAAUAUAGUAAUAGACACAAGAUACAUAGGAGGAGAAUAUAGAAGUUAUCUUAUUCAAGUGUAUUUCAUGUGUGUUCUUACAUAAGUAAAAAAUAUCCUAUUUAUAAUAUACACAAGAUACACCCAAAACUUGUUAGAUAUAUCCUAAAAAUUAAUAAGUACAUCUAUCGAAGUAGUACAUUGUAGAAAAUGUAUGAAUAGAUUAAAUAAAC